GAGCAGUAGAAAAGUGGGGUGCAGAAUUCAAAGUCACAUAAGAAGACUAGACUUAAUGGUCUGACCGAGACUGGAGGAACCUUCGAAGGCAUGGCCCCUGGAUGCUUUGUUAACCCAGAACCAAAACCAUUUGCGAAGCCCACUCUUCAGAUAAAGGUUAGACUGGGCUAUAAAACAAAAUAAUACUCAUGAAGAGUGCGCUUCUUAGUUCAAGCAGAUAUGUGAUACCAAAUGGGUGGCUGCUGUCCAGAGGCAGAAUAGGAAGGCAGAAAGGGACAGGAGCUGGUUGGACGGUCGCGGGAAACCCAGGGUGGAAAGGGUGAGUGUGCUGUCACAUUACAGGGAUUGCAACUAGGGUCACAUAACAAUAUGUGUAUAAAUUUUUGUAUGAGAAGUUAACAUGAGCUGUAAACUUUCACCUAAAGCACAAUUUAAAAAUAAAGGGGGGAGGGCAUCUUCUUGGUUUGACUUCUCAGUCCCUCUGGAGUACUUUCUUGCUGAAGUCCCCCUCACCUCUCAUACCCUUUGCAGGGCCCCAAACCAUUUUAAGAUCAGUUGAAGACUUUAACUGCUCAUUGUCCUAAUUAUACCUCUCAUUUCGAGAUGGAUGGAGAUUAAGCCUUUCUAAUCGUCCAUACUUUAAAGCCAAUAGGAUCCUCUGCCAAAAAUAAACCCUUCCCUCUCUUUUUAGGAAAAUAAAAACCAAAUGUAGGUUGUGGGCUAGUCUGAUAUUGCAUAAUAUCUCCCAUGCACUGCGUAAAUCGUCACCACUCGCUUGGUACAGAAAUAAGAAGAAAACCACAUAUAUUCGGGAGUUGGGAGGAAGGGGCGGUGUCUCAGCAAAGCCAGAAACAGUGGUUUUGGGGUCUGAGGAAGUUGGGUGGCAGUCCCCGCAGGGAAAUAUGAUGAUGUGCUUGGUAGCAAACCCUCCAGCUGGCCUCUGGGCAAGGCUUGAGGGGGAUGCAUUUCUCUCCGAAGGCUGGUUUGAAGCGGGGGCAGUAGGAACACCAGAGUCCUGCCUCUUGGAUCAGCUGAGCCGCACUCUGUCAGAGAGGCUGCAUACUUUGUGGAAGUAGCUAAAAACUACAACAUGAAGUUGGGCCCUGAGAAUUGCCUGCCGGCCAAUGUUGGGAGAGAGAAACCAGGGUCCCGCAGAUCUCAUCAUGGAUGUGAUUACAUGAUUACAUAACUGCCAAACUACUGAGAAUCAUGGUCCAGCCAAGUUGACACACAACCAUCGCAGUGCCUAAUAAGUGGGGUGACCUGGGCAUGAAGAUGUUCCCAAACUCUCACACGUGUAACUGCACAUGACUUGCCUCUCCUAACUAGAGUAUACCUGUCUCAACAUUUCACCAGCUGUAAUAAGUGGUGUGCAAUGCUGGUUCAAGAAAAGAGGCUGCAAUUUGGGGAAAAGAAUUCUGAGAAACACGAAUUCCCUCCUUCUUUGGCUCAAUCCUGACUUCUUGGGUUGAUACUGUGUGAGGAAGUGGAGUUACCUCAAUAAAUACAGCAUAGUUUCUACUCCUGAGAAUUCACAGUUGCCUGAUGGACAGCUGUUGGAGAACUUGUCAUCUCUCCGACUCAGUGAAGACUGAAGGUGUGUCCCCUAUUUCUCCCACAAUGAGUGCCUUACACUGCCCUUACCUCCAGGGACACCUCCUUCUUUGAUAACUGCCCUCCCCCCAUUUGUAUGCUGCUAUUUUCUGAUCCUCAGUGGGCCUCUCCAAGCCACCUUUUCCCAGCUUUCUCUGACCUGGAGAUGAUUCAAGUGAAAGGGAAAUGUUGCCAGUCAUCGCUAAGGGAUGCCUAUCAGGGGAGGGCUGAGAAGCUGAAAGCCUGCCUGGAAAUGGGAGCUGGUUCUGAGGAGGAAGAACACCAGUGAGAGCUUUCCUUCACCCUCAGGGAAUGGGUGGGAACAACCCAUAAUGCAAGGCCCUAGACCCAGUUGGGGCAUAGGAGAGGUGGGGGAGACCUUUUCUCUCCCUCAUUCCUAUUUUAACUAGCUGUUCACUAGU